UUACACCAGGCAGAGCAGGAAACUGUUGGAGUUGUUGUUCCCUCUGUGGCGUGUCCUCUCUCCUCUCAGACCUGUCCUUACUGUUCAACCCUUGUGGGACAUCGAAAUCCCGCUAGCUAGCAUUCAUGUUUUAUGUCUGAUCGUAAAUAAGGUCAUAUUAUCUGAUGUUUCAGAUGUUUUUUCCUCCUGAAUCUUUGUUCCGGCAGACCUCUCAGAGAAAAACAUCUGUAAGGAGGAGACUGAUGAUGAGCAGCUUCUCUGGAAGCAGGAGAGGAGCUCCAGUCUGGAUGAAGACAAACCAGAGCUUCCACUGAUCAAAGAGGAGGAGGAGGAGGUCUGCAUUGGAGAUGUCUGUGAGCCUGCCCAGAAAGCCUUUCCAUCACACCAGGGGGGUAUUCCAGAAAGCAGGUUCUGAUAGUUACCAUGGACUGCAUCGGUGAGGACACGUCCACUGCUGGAGG